UCCCUGAUUGCUCAGAGGGUAAAGCGUCUGCCUGAAAUGCAGGAGACCUUGGUUCGAUCCCUGGGUCGGGAA
rfam:Ovis aries breed Texel chromosome 7, whole genome shotgun sequence.